rnacentral:tRNA from 1 species
GGGCUCGUGGAGGUAAUGGUAACCUCACUUGCGUUGUCACCAAAAGUUGCGGGUUCGACUCCCGCCGAGUCCA